UUUUUGCGUGAGGGAUGGUAGUGGAAAUCCUUUUAUCAUGUAGCGCUAGCGGAAUGAAUAAAAGAUUGCAACGUAUAGCCCGACCCUUG
rnacentral:sRNA from 2 species